UUUACUAUUUCUCAAAUAAAAAAAAACCCUAGCAGUAGCAACUAUUUCUCAAGCCGCCUCCUCCCUUUAUCAUCGUUCCUUUCUCUCUCUCUCUCUCGGAUAGGCGGACGGUCCAGGCGAGUGAAUGGACAGGCCGGCAAGCGGACGGACAGCGACGACCUCUCACCUUUCCCAUCUCUGUCUCUCUCGGUUCUUUGUGCGACGAUUUUUGAGUUUCCAUUGCCGGUCGUCGCCCCUCAACCACGCCCAGGACAGCAGCUCGAAAGUGUGAACUAACCACGCACCACCGACGAUCUUUUCGUUUGCAGGCACAAUAGUUGCCUCACAAAGGGAGAACCUAACUGAAAGUGUGAACAAGGCUAUUGGCGAAGACGACGACUGUGGAUACUUUGAAAUGGUUAAGACGAAGCAUCAAAAGUCCGAACCCAAGAGGCAAACUCACGUUACGGGCGGUUGGGGGUUUGCUCUGCACGGGUUCGCAAGUAGCUGUUCUUGCAUUGUCGGGGUUCACAGGUGGCUAGUUCCGUCGUAGAGGUUGGGUGUUUGGAUGGGAUAUUAGGAGCUUUCCAAAGUAAAAAUUUUAUCACAUUUAUUUUGGGUUUCAUAAAUUUGGUUUUGAUUUAGUAAUGGUUCUCAUAAUCUUCACA